rnacentral:lncRNA from 10 species
AUUUGGGGGAUUUCAUGUAAUUAUGAAUAGGAUGCAAAUUUUAUAGCCCCAGUGAAGGGAAACACCCCUGGCGAGGCUUCCCGGGGCCAGAGAGAGGACUCCACUGAGGGAGAUGGUGGCAGGGCCAUUCUUUGUGUCCUGCUUUUUUUUUUUUUUUUUUUUUUAACAUCCUCUUUAUGUCCUGAGAGCCAUGUGCAGAUGAGGAAAAAUGACAUGCAAUGCAUUUUUGCCUGCCACAAUGACUUUGCAAUCAUAACAAGCAAAAUGUUCUAAACAGUAAGUGAAUCGAGGAAGAUAUACUGCCAAGUCAGGAAGAAAAAAUCCACCUGUUCAGUGAUUUCAGGAACUGCUGAAGAAAAUCACCAGAAAAUCAUACUGGUAGCCUUCAAGUGGCCAUGGUGGGAGCAUUGACCCAGGGAAAUCCACAUUUCCCAACACAUGCUGGAUACCUGAGGACUCCAGAGCUACUAUCUGCUCAUAUCUGCUCAACAUUAAAAAAAAAAAAAAAACCUCACAUUGUUAAGUGAAAAGGUUUAUUGGCAGAUUUGCUUAACUCAAUUUGCA